rnacentral:rRNA from 1 species
UACAGAGGGUGCGAGCGUUAAUCGGAAUUACUGGGCGUAAAGCGUGCGUAGACGGUUAUUUAAGUCGGGUGUGAAAGCCCCGGGCUCAACCUGGGAACUGCAUUUGAAACUGGCGGGCUUGAGUAUGGCAGAGGGGGGUGGAAUUCCGCGUGUAGCAGUGAAAUGCGUAGAGAUGCGGAGGAACACCGAUGGCGAAGGCAGCCCCCUGGGCCAAUACUGACGCUCAGGCACGAAAGCGUGGGGAGCAAACAGG